ACUCAAAGGAAUUGACGGGGGCCCGCACAAGCAGCGGAGCAUGUGGUUUAAUUCGAAGCAACGCGAAGAACCUUACCAGGGCUUGACAUCCCUCUGACCGGUAUAGAGAUAUACCCUCCCUUCGGGGCAGAGGAGACAGGUGGUGCAUGGUUGUCGUCAGCUCGUGUCGUGAGAUGUUGGGUUAAGUCCCGCAACGAGCGCAACCCCUAUUUCUAGUUGCCAGCAUUUCGGAUGGGCACUCUAGAGAGACUGCCGGGGAUAACUCGGAGGAAGGUGGGGACGACGUCAAAUCAUCAUGCCCCUUAUGUCCUGGGCUACACACGUGCUACAAUGGCCAGUAACAAAGGGACGCGAAGCGGUAACGUGGAGCAAAUCCCAUAAAACUGGUCCCAGUUCGGAUUGUGGGCUGCAACCCGCCCACAUGAAGUCGGAGUUGCUAGUAAUCGCGAAUCAGCAUGUCGCGGUGAAUGCGUUCCCGGGCCUUGCACACACCGCCCGU
rnacentral:rRNA from 1 species